UUGAAAGUCCACAUGUGUUACCGUCCCGGGCCGGCCCCUUCCACCCACUACGUGUCAUGACCCAGCCAGUGCAUGAACUGACCUGUUCCAGGAAGUCCUGCAGCAGAGCUCUCUAUGAACGUCCAGUCAUGGAUGAAUCCAAGGGUGACUUUGGUGCACAUGCUCCCGUCCCCUCGCCAGAACCAGCUGCGGCCUGGGGAUGAGGAAGGAAGGAGCAGUCUGCUUGGGAAAGCAGCAAUGUUGAAGCAAUCGGAAGGCAUCUACAGAGAUCUGAAGGGAAGUUGCGGUUAUGAUAACAAAUAACAGACAAGACAUAUUUUGAAACAAGUUUGCAUCCUUC